rnacentral:rRNA from 1 species
ACGACCGUACCGCAAACCGACACUGGUGCGCGAGAUGAGUAUUCUAAGGCGCUUGAGAGAACUCAGGAGAAGGAACUCGGCAAAUUGACACCGUAACUUCGGAAGAAGGUGUGCCUUUAGUAGGUGAAGUCCCUUGCGGAUGGAGCCCAAUGAGGUUGCAAAAAAUCGGUGGCUGCGACUGUUUAUUAAAAACACAGCACUCUGCAAACACGAAAGUGGACGUAUAGGGUGUGACGCCUGCCCGGUGCUGGAAGAUUAAAUGAUGGGGUGCAAGCUCUUGAUUGAAGUCCCAGUAAACGGCGGCCGUAACAAUAACGGUCCUAAGGUAGCGAAAUUCCUUGUCGGGUAAGUUCCGACCUGCACGAAUGGCGUAACGAUGGCCACACUGUCUCCUCCUGAGACUCAGCGAAGUUGAAAUGUUUGUGAUGAUGCAAUCUCCCCGCGGAAAGACGGAAAGACCCCAUGAACCUUUACUGUAGCUUUGUAUUGGACUUUGAACAGAUCUGUGUAGGAUAGGUGGGAGGCUUUGAAGCAGGGUCGCUAGAUCUUGUGGAGCCAACGUUGAAAUACCACCCUGGUGUGUUUGAGGUUCUAACCUAGGCCCGUAAUCCGGGUUGGGGACAGUGCAUGGUAGGCAGUUUGGCUGGGGCGGUCUCCUCCCAAAGUGUAACGGAGGAGUUCGAAGGUACGCUAGUUACGGUCGGACAUCGUGACGAUAGUGCAAUGGCAUAAGCGUGCUUAACUGCGAGACUGACAAGUCGAGCAGAUGCGAAAGCAGGACAUAGUGAUCCGGUGGUUCUGUAUGGAAGGGCCAUCGCUCAACGGAUAAAAGGUACUCUGGGGAUAACAGGCUGAUACCGCCCAAGAGUUCAUAUCGACGGCGGUGUUUGGCACCUCGAUGUCGGCUCAUCUCAUCCUGGGGCUGUAGCCGGUCCCAAGGGUAUGGCUGUUCGCCAUUUAAAGAGGUACGUGAGCUGGGUUUAAAACGUCGUGAGACAGUUUGGUCCCUAUCUUCCGUGGGCGCUGCAGAUUUGAGGAAGCCUGCUCCUAGUACGAGAGGACCGGAGUGGACGCACCUCUGGUGUAUCGGUUGUCACGCCAGUGGCAUUGCCGAGUAGCUAUGUGCGGAAGAGAUAACCGCUGAAAGCAUCUAAGCGGGAAACUCGUUUCAAGAUGAGAUCUGCCGGGGCCUUGAGCCCCCUAAAGAGUCGUUCAAGACCAGGACGUUGAUAGGUCGGGUGUGGAAGCGCAGUAAUGCGUUAAGCUAACCGAUACUAAUUGCUCGUGCGGCUUGACCUG